rnacentral:rRNA from 1 species
AGCGCAUGUGCUGUGAGCUCGAUGAGUAGGGCGGGACACGUGAUAUCCUGUCUGAAUAUGGGGGGACCAUCCUCCAAGGCUAAAUACUCCUGACUGACCGAUAGUGAACCAGUACCGUGAGGGAAAGGCGAAAAGAACCCCGGCGAGGGGAGUGAAAAAGAACCUGAAACCGUGUACGUACAAGCAGUGGGAGCACCCUUCGGGGUGUGACUGCGUACCUUUUGUAUAAUGGGUCAGCGACUUAUAUUCUGUAGCAAGGUUAACCGAAUAGGGGAGCCGGAGGGAAACCGAGUCUUAACCGGGCGUUAAGUUGCAGGGUAUAGACCCGAAACCCGGUGAUCUAGCCAUGGGCAGGUUGAAGGUUGGGUAACACUAACUGGAGGACCGAACCGACUAAUGUUGAAAAAUUAGCGGAUGACCUGUGGCUGGGGGUGAAAGGCCAAUCAAACCGGGAGAUAGCUGGUUCUCCCCGAAAGCUAUUUAGGUAGCGCCUCGUGAAUUCAUCUCCGGGGGUAGAGCACUGUUUCGGCUAGGGGGCCAUCCCGGCUUACCAACCCGAUGCAAACUGCGAAUACCGGAGAAUGUUAUCACGGGAGACACACGGCGGGUGCUAACGUCCGUCGUGAAGAGGGAAACAACCCAGACCGCCAGCUAAGGUCCCAAAGUCAUGGUUAAGUGGGAAACGAUGUGGGAAGGCCCAGACAGCCAGGAUGUUGGCUUAGAAGCAGCCAUCAUUUAAAGAAAGCGUAAUAGCUCACUGGUCGAGUCGGCCUGCGCGGAAGAUGUAACGGGGCUAAACCAUGCACCGAAGCUGCGGCAGCGACGCUGAUGCGUUGUUGGGUAGGGGAGCGUUCUGUAAGCCUGCGAAGGUGGCCUGUGAGGGUUGCUGGAGGUAUCAGAAGUGCGAAUGCUGACAUAAGUAACGAUAAAGCGGGUGAAAAGCCCGCUCGCCGGAAGACCAAGGGUUCCUGUCCAACGUUAAUCGGGGCAGGGUGAGUCGACCCCUAAGGCGAGGCCGAAAGGCGUAGUCGAUGGGAAACGGGUUAAUAUUCCCGUACUUGGUGUUACUGCGAAGGGGGGACGGAGAAGGCUAUGUUGGCCGGGCGACGGUUGUCCCGGUUUAAGCGUGUAGGUGUGUGUUCCAGGUAAAUCCGGUUCACUUUAACACUGAGGCGUGACGACGAGGCACUACGGUGCUGAAGCAACAAAUGCCCUGCUUCCAGGAAAAGCCUCUAAGCAUCAGGUAACAUCAAAUCGUACCCCAAACCGACACAGGUGGUCAGGUAGAGAAUACCAAGGCGCUUGAGAGAACUCGGGUGAAGGAACUAGGCAAAAUGGUGCCGUAACUUCGGGAGAAGGCACGCUGACACGUAGGUGAAGUGAUUUACUCAUGGAGCUGAAGUCAGUCGAAGAUACCAGCUGGCUGCAACUGUUUAUUAAAAACACAGCACUGUGCAAACACGAAAGUGGACGUAUACGGUGUGACGCCUGCCCGGUGCCGGAAGGUUAAUUGAUGGGGUCAGCGCAAGCGAAGCUCCUGAUCGAAGCCCCGGUAAACGGCGGCCGUAACUAUAACGGUCCUAAGGUAGCGAAAUUCCUUGUCGGGUAAGUUCCGACCUGCACGAAUGGCGUAAUGAUGGCCAGGCUGUCUCCACCCGAGACUCAGUGAAAUUGAACUCGCUGUGAAGAUGCAGUGUACCCGCGGCAAGACGGAAAGACCCCGUGAACCUUUACUAUAGCUUGACACUGAACAUUGAGCCUUGAUGUGUAG